rnacentral:lncRNA from 1 species
UCCUGGAUCUUCUUACUUUGGUGCUUCAUCUUGGAAACUCCUCACUUGAUUCAACCAUCCAGCCACUCUACCUUUCAUUGCACAUUGAGCUUCCAUUUUGUGGCUAACCUUGGACGUUGCUAGGUGGACCACUGGAUAGAUUGCUGGGCCUGGAGUCAAGAAGAUUUCAGUUCAAAUUUGGUCCUUUUGCCUACAUUUUCUCAACUGUAAAAUGGUAUACAAGAAUAUGAAAUUCCUAUUUUGAUCUCUGAGUGGAUUUUUAAGUCAUGGAUCACAAUUCUUCUUGGUUCGGCAUCACUUCUACCUGCCAGGGGAUGUAAGAUGGCUUUGCUCUUCCUAUUGGACAAUUUUUUUUCUUGUGACGUGGUGCAGUGGGUAGAAUUCUGGGCCUGGAUUCAAGAAGACCUGAGUUCAACUAACUGUGUGACCCUAGGCAAGUCAUUUAACCUCUGUUUGCCUCAGUUUUCCUCAUCUAUAAAAUGAGGGUAAUGAUAGCACCAUCUUCCUAAGUUUAUUAUGAGGAUCAAAUGAGAUAAUCAUUGAAAAGUACUUAGCACAAUGCCUGGUAAAGGACCAUGUAAAUAUUAGAACUCUUAUCAUUGUUGUUACUUUUAUCUACAUCUGCAGCUCUGUCUUGAUUUCGGCCCCUUCUUGGAUAAACUCAUCACUUCUAAACACAUCAGUACUAGAACCAUGGCUACCUACCACCUCUUCUAGCCUCUUCUCCCCUCUGUUUUGAGAGGCUGGAGGGUGAAAAAUUAAACUCUUUCUCAAGUUAGUUAGGUGCUAGGUUCAGCUAGAUUGUGCAGAAGGAUAGAGUUCUGGGUCUCCUUUGUGAGUUCAAAUCUGGCCUCAGACAAUUACUAGCUGUGUGACCUUGAGCAAGUCACUUAAACCUAUUUGCCUCAGUUUCCUCAUCUGUCAAAUGAGCUGGAGAAGGAAAUGGAAAACUACUCCAGUAUUUCUGCCAAGAAAUCCCCAAAUGAGAUCAUGGAGAGUCAGACACAUCUGAAAAAAACAACAAUUGGAACAACAAUAAGAAUUCAAUAUUCUUUUUCAAAGUCUCAUGGCUGUUUGUAGGUAGGGUACAUCUUCAAAAAGAUAAUUGGGUCUUAGAUCUAGAGCUGGAAUAGACCAAAGAGGCUAUCUAGCUCAGCCCUCUCAUUUUUACAGAUCAGUCCUUCAAAUGUCCUUUGCAUCCAAUCAGCCUGUUGAUUAAGGGAUUAAGCAUGAAGGCACUGCUAUAUUGUCACCAAGAUAAUAAUUUCAUUUUGCUGAUGGGACCAUGACUUGAGGGGACAGCAUCAUGAAUGAAAAAACAUUUAUUAAUGACUUACCAUGUGCCAGACUAUCCUUCAACUUUCCUUCCCGUUUUUUUUUUAAAUGCAGAAGUUCUACCCAAACCAGCUUUGUGGUUUUGAGCAUGUAAGCAUAUGGAGACCAAAAAGGGAAAGACAGUAUAGUGAUAAUAUGAGUAGCUGUU